AUUAUAAAAUACUUAUAUAUUGUAACUAUUUAAUUUAUAAAUCAUUAUAAUUAUAUUUUACUAUAAGUAUUAACUUAUUAUAAUGAAUUAUAGUAUUCAUUUUAAAUGAUAAUAUUUUACUAUAGUAGUAAAAGUUCAGUAAAAUAAAUAUAUUACUGUGAAAGAAAAUUUCUAUUUACUUUAGUUAGCUACCUUUUGCAUAAUGGUUUAAUUAAAAUAAUUAAAAAAAUUUUUUUUCCCGAAGUUAGAAGAUCUAAUUUAAUUUAUUUAUUUAUUAGAAAAUAAUUAUAAUGUUUCAAAAUUAUUUAUAAAAUAUAAAUUAGUGGUGAAAGGCCUAUCAAUUCUAAAAAUAUCUGGAAUAAUUUUAAAUGUAUUUAGUACAUAUUAAGCUUUACAAUAAAAAAAUGUUAAGAUUUUUUUAAAUAUUAGAAUAUUAGAUGAAAGUUACAUAUGAAUUAAUCUUCAAAUAUAACCAUUUUUUUAUAAUUGAUUAUUUUAUAAUCUUAUUAAUAAAAUUAUAUUUAUAUAAAUGUGAUAUUAAAUUAAUAAUGUUAAAAUUAGUAUAGUAAAUAAAAUUUAACUAAGGAACUCGGCUAAGUAUUAUUCAUCUGUUUAUCAAAAACAUAGUCUUAUGAAUAUUAUAUAAGAUAAAGCCUGCCCACUGAUAAAAUUUAAAUGGCCGCAGUACCUUGACUGUGCUAAGGUAGCAUAAUAAAUUGACUCUUAAUUGGGGCCUUGAAUGAAUGGAUAAAUGGAUAAUUUCUGUCUCAAAUAAAUUUAUUAAAAGUUACUUAAAAGGUGAAAAUUCCUUUAAUUACAUAUAAUAGACGAGAAGACCCUAGGAGUUUAAAAUUUUGUUGGGGCGACAAUAUAGCAUGUUAUAUUAACCUAUAUAUAUACUUAUUAUAUAAAACGAAUAAUAUUAAUAAUAAAUAAACUACCCUAGGGAUAACAGCAUAAUAUUAAUUUUAAGUUUGUGACCUCGAUG
rnacentral:rRNA from 1 species